rnacentral:rRNA from 1 species
CUACGGAGGGUGCGAGCGUUGUUCGGAAUUAUAGGGCGUAAGGAGCAUGUAGGCGGUCUGUUAAGUCUGGUGUGAAAGCCCGGGGCUCAACCCCGGAAGUGCAUUGGAUACUGGCAGACUUGAGUAUGGGAGAGGAAAGCGGAAUUCCGAGUGUAGGAGUGAAAUCCGUAGAUAUUCGGAGGAACACCAGUGGCGAAGGCGGCUUUCUGGACCAAUACUGACGCUGAGAUGCGAAAGCGUGGGGAGCAAACAGGAUUAGAAACCCUUGUAGUCC